rnacentral:rRNA from 1 species
UGGGGAAUAUUGCACAAUGGGCGCAAGCCUGAUGCAGCCAUUGCCGCGUGUAUGAAGAAGGCCUUCGGGUUGUAAAGUACUUUCAGCGAGGAGGAAGGCGUUAAGGUUAAUAACCUUAGUGAUUGACGUUACUCGCAGAAGAAGCACCGGCUAACUCCGUGCCAGCAGCCGCGGUAAUACGGAGGGUGCAAGCGUUAAUCGGAAUUACUGGGCGUAAAGCGCACGCAGGCGGUUUGUUAAGUCAGAUGUGAAAUCCCCGGGCUCAACCUGGGAACUGCAUUUGAAACUGGCAAGCUUGAGUCUUGUAGAGGGGGGUAGAAUUCCAGGUGUAGCGGUGAAAUGCGUAGAGAUCUGGAGGAAUACCGGUGGCGAAGGCGGCCCCCUGGACAAAGACUGACGCUCAGGUGCGAAAGCGUAGGGAGCAAACAGGAUUAGAUACCCUGGUAGUCCACGCUGUAAACGAUGUCGACUUGGAGGUUGUUCCCUUGAGGAGUGGCUUCCGGAGCUAACGCGUUAAGUCGACCGCCUGGGGAGUACGGCCGCAAGGUUA